rnacentral:rRNA from 1 species
GAUGAACGCUGGCGGCGUGCUUAACACAUGCAAGUCGAACGAGAAGUGGAGACGGAAACCUUCGGGCGGAAGACUUUAUUUCGAGUGGCGGACGGGUGAGUAACGCUUGGGUAACCUGCCUCAUACAGGGGGAUAACAGUUGGAAACGACUGUUAAUACCGCAUAAGACCACAGCACCGCAUGGUGCGGGGGUAAAAACUCCGGUGGUAUGAGAUGGACCCGCGUUCGAUUAGCCAGUUGGCGGGGUAACGGCCCACCAAAGCGACGAUCGAUAGCCGAUCUGAGAGGAUGACCGGACACAUUGGGACUGAGACACGGCCCAAACUCCUACGGGAGGCAGCAGUGGGGAAUAUUGCACAAUGGGGGAAACCCUGAUGCAGCGACGCCGCGUGAGUGAAGAAGUAUUUCGGUAUGUAAAGCUAGAUCAGCAGGGAAGAAAAUGACGGUACCUGAGGAAGAAGCCCCGGCUAACUACGUG